rnacentral:tRNA from 1 species
GCAUCCAUAGCUCAGUUGGAUAGAGUUACGGACUUCGAAUCCGGAGGUCGUGAGUUCGAAUCUCACUGGAUGUA